ACAUAACUGUUUAGUUGAGAGUCUAUCUUUUUAGUGUGGUUGCUGUUGAUCCAUACAGGUGCGCAAUACUCCGCAACUGAAUACACUAAUGCAAUUGAAGAUGUUUUUAGUGUAAAUGAAUCAGUACCCUAAUCUAUGCCUGCUAGUUUUUAGAUUAUAUUAUUUCUUGCGCAAAUCUUAGCCAUAACACAAGUUAUGUGGUUUUUAAAGGUAAGGGACCUAUUAAGAGUAAUUCCUAGGUAUUUUGGACAUGGAUUAUGUGCGAUAUUAUGACCACUGAAAGUAAUUUUUAGUUUGGCAUUAGCUUGCUUAUUAUUUAGAUAAAAUAUAGAAGAUUCUAUUUUGCCAGGAUUCAACCUUAGCUUCCAGUUCAUGAAGUCAAAAAAACUACAUUUUAAUUCAAAUUUAAAAAAUUUAGGUAACUUGAGGCAUAAUAUUGAGAUAAAGCUUUCAAAAUUGGAGUGGAUUUUAUUAUAUUUAUUUAGAACUAUCUUAGGGGGUGCAUUCAUAAAAGUUCAACCAUGAUUCAUUUAAGAGCUGCCAUAAUAUACAUUAAAACCACCUUCUUAUAACGGACACUCUAUAAGGUAGAAAAACCAUGAUUUAUAACAAUUGUUUUAUAAAAAAGUAGUUAUUAUCACCUGUUGUACCAGUUUAAUGAGAUGUAUUCCAGUUACCAAUUUGUAGAUACCAAGUAUAUGGAAAAAGGUUAAUUACAAUGUCCUUAAUUCAUAUUAAUCCCUUUUUAAGAAGUUUGUACUCAUGUUUCUCAAAUGGUCUCCAAUUGAGUUAGUGUUUUUAGAUUAUUUUCCUAUAUAAAUAUUAUAUAUACA